rnacentral:rRNA from 1 species
UACGUAGGGAGCAAGCGUUGUCCGGAAUCAUUGGGCGUAAAGCGCGCGUAGGUGGCCUCAUAAGUCCGUUGUGAAAGUCAAAGGCUCAACCUUUGAAAGCCGAUGGAUACUGUGAGACUAGAGUACGGAAGAGGCGAGUGGAAUUCCUGGUGUAGCGGUGGAAUGCGCAGAUAUCAGGAGGAACACCAAUAGCGAAGGCAGCUCGCUGGGACGAUACUGACGCUAAGGCGCGAAAGCGUGGGGAGCGAACAGGA